rnacentral:rRNA from 1 species
AUUGAACGCUGGCGGCAUGCCUUACACAUGCAAGUCGAACGGCAGCACGGGUGCUUGCACCUGGUGGCGAGUGGCGAACGGGUGAGUAAUACAUCGGAACAUGUCCUGUAGUGGGGGAUAGCCCGGCGAAAGCGGGAGUAAUACCGCAUACGAACUACGGAUGAAAGCGGGGGACCUUCGGACCUCGCGCUAUAGGGUUAGCAGAUGGCUGAUUAGCUAGUUGGUGGGGUAAAGGCCUACCAAGGCGACGAGCAGUAGCUGGUCUGAGAGGACGACCAGCCACACUGGGACUGAGACACGGCCCAGACUCCUACGGGAGGCAGCAGUGGGGAAUUUUGGACAAUGGGCGAAAGCCUGAUCCAGCAAUGCCGCGUGUGUGAAGAAGGCCUUCGGGUUGUAAAGCACUUUUGUCCGGAAAGAAAUCCUUGGCCCUAAUACGGUCGGGGGAUGACGGUACCGGAAGAAUAAGCACCGGCUAACUACGUG